rnacentral:rRNA from 1 species
AUUGAACGCUGGCGGCAUGCCUUACACAUGCAAGUCGAACGGCAGCACGGGAGCAAUCCUGGUGGCGAGUGGCGAACGGGUGAGUAAUAUAUCGGAACGUGCCCAGUAGUGGGGGAUAGCCCGGCGAAAGCCGGAUUAAUACCGCAUGAGACCUGAGGGUGAAAGCGGGGGAUCGCAAGACCUCGCGCUAUUGGAGCGGCCGAUAUCAGAUUAGCUAGUUGGUGGGGUAAAGGCCUACCAAGGCAACGAUCUGUAGUUGGUCUGAGAGGACGACCAGCCACACUGGGACUGAGACACGGCCCAGACUCCUACGGAGGCAGCAGUGGGGAAGUUUUGGACAAUGGGCGCAAGCCUGAUCCAGCAAUGCCGCGUGCAG